GCCGAAGUGAUGGAAUUGGUAGACGUGCUGGACUCAAAAUCCAGUGGUGGCGACACCGUGCGGGUUCGAGUCCCGCCUUCGGCACCA
rnacentral:tRNA from 1 species